UCAACGCGAAGAACCUUACCAAAUCUUGACAUCCUUUGAAAACUCUAGAGAUAGAGCUUUCCCCUUCGGGGGACAAAGUGACAGGUGGUGCAUGGUUGUCGUCAGCUCGUGUCGUGAGAUGUUGGGUUAAGUCCCGCAACGAGCGCAACCCUUAUCUUUAGUUGCCAUCAUUAAGUUGGGCACUCUAGAGAGACUGCCGGUGACAAACCGGAGGAAGGUGGGGAUGACGUCAAAUCAUCAUGCCCCUUAUGAUUUGGGCUACACACGUGCUACAAUGGAUGGUACAAAGGGCAGCAAAACCGCGAGGUCAAGCAAAUCCCAUAAAACCAUUCUCAGUUCGGAUUGUAGUCUGCAACUCGACUACAUGAAGCUGGAAUCGCUAGUAAUCGUAGAUCAGCAUGCUACGGUGAAUACGUUCCCGGGUCUUGUACACACCGA
rnacentral:rRNA from 1 species